rnacentral:rRNA from 1 species
GAUGAACGCUGGCGGCGUGCCUAAUACAUGCAAGUCGAGCGAACAGACGAGGAGCUUGCUCCUCUGACGUUAGCGGCGGACGGGUGAGUAACACGUGGAUAACCUACCUAUAAGACUGGGAUAACUUCGGGAAACCGGAGCUAAUACCGGAUAAUAUAUUGAACCGCAUGGUUCAAUAGUGAAAGACGGUUUUGCUGUCACUUAUAGAUGGAUCCGCGCCGCAUUAGCUAGUUGGUAAGGUAACGGCUUACCAAGGCAACGAUGCGUAGCCGACCUGAGAGGGUGAUCGGCCACACAGGAACUGAGACACGGUCCAGACUCCUACGGGAGGCAGCAGUAGGGAAUCUUCCGCAAAGGGCGAAAGCCUGACGGAGCAACGCCGCGUGAGUGAUGAAGGUCUGCGGAUCGUAAAACUCUGUUAUUAGGGAAGAACAAAUGUGUAAGUAACUAUGCACGUCUUGACGGUACCUAAUCAGAAAGCCACGGCUAACUACGUG